GAGCCGCGCGCCAGGUUUCAGGUGAAAGGCGUCACCGGCUUCCGAGUCUACCGGCUCUUAACCCCGUAACAAGUUUUAACGAAUAUGCAGACGAGAAGAUAACUCACACUGCACAGUCGUUUUCUGAGAACCAAUCUCUGUUCGUUCACUUGUCCUUUCCACCGGACGUGUUCGGGGUUUGGAUGUGAUUUUGUUAUCUUUUCAAAGGUGAAAAUUUUCAGACAAUUUAGGAACAUCUCUCAAGCAUCAGGGCAUUAGUGGGGGAUGUGUUUCAGAGGCAGCCUCUUUGAACAGUCUGACGGCAUCAGGUCUCUGAGGCAAGGUGAGGAGGAAGAGAAAAACAUAAACACAAGCUUC